UAAUACGGGGGGGGCAAGCGUUGUUCGGAAUUACUGGGCGUAAAGGGCGCGUAGGCGGCUUGAAAAGUCAGGUGUGAAAGCCUGUAGCUUAACUUCAGAAUUGCAUCUGAUACUGUCAAGCUAGAGUGUGGAAGAGGCAACUGGAAUUCCUGGUGUAGCGGUGAAAUGCGUAGAUAUCAGGAGGAACAUCAGAGGCGAAGGCGGGUUGCUGGGCCAACACUGACGCUGAGGCGCGAAAGCUAGGGGAGCAAACGGG
rnacentral:rRNA from 1 species